rnacentral:ncRNA from 1 species
GUAGAAGCCCGACUCGCUCUGUUUGAGCCGGGCAUGGAAUGCGAGUGCCAAGUGGGCCACUCUUGUAAGGCAGGACUGGCGAUGCGGGAUGAACCGAACGCCGGGUUAAGGCGCCCGACGCGACGCUCAUCAGAGCCCACAAAAGGUGUUGGUUGAUAUAGACAGCAGGACGGUGGCCAUGGAAGUCGGAAACCGCUAAGGAGUGUGUAACAACUCACCUGCCGAAUCAAUCAGGGCUCGAAACUCAGACCAUUUAUUUUAAAUAUGUAAUUGGCAUAUCAUGUAUGAAUCGGUCGUGUUAAC